rnacentral:lncRNA from 1 species
CGCCCCGUCCAGCCUUGGGGGGGGGGAGAAGUACAGAAGCGUUUUCCAACCUUGUGAGCUCCUCUCCCCGAUAAGUGUUUCUUAACAGUGCGCUCUAGAUAUAGUAGCGCUUAUUAAUCCUGCACCUGGGGCAAAGGUGGAUUAAGUGCUGUGGUUUUAUUGUUGUGAGCGAGAGGUUUCGUUUUGAGCGCUCCUCUGUCCGUCUGGCGGAGUCCAGCCGUUCGUGCACUUCUGACAUUUCCCCAAAUAUCAUGGCUUUCUAUCUUACACCUUGGAUAAAACGCUGGAGAACUGGGACUUGCUUCAUUUUAUGAAGCAGUAAGUCUUUAUGCACUGUUUGGACUUCUGGAAAUUUUAGAAUACUUUUUUAAAGACUGUAACUUGACACAGCAUCUAACAACAGUACAGCUGUGAGUGGUGAGUGACAAAUGACUUGUUUCUGAGAAUCUUUAUUUUUGUACAGUGAAAUAUUUUAAUACAACUUAGCAAUAAGUUUUUGUUGUAUAGCUUGCUUAAAACUUCUUUUCAGGGCUUGUCACUUUGUACAACAUGUUAAUCUAGCAUUUCUGUGUAUUAAUAAGGAUGAAAGUUUUCAUCCCAACUUGCAUGUUUUCUACAUAUUAUGAAACCUGUGGCAUCAGUGUGAAUUAGUAAAUUAUUAAACUCUAUUUAAAGUAUCUUCUUGAGGCAGAAGAUUAUCUAAAAUUCUUUACUCUUGAAGUUUUUCCGGUUAUUAAAUUAUUCAAAGUAAACAUUAGUGAGCCUUAAUCAUAGUACUUUUAAAUUACGUUCCUAUUAAACAGUUAUAAUUAGGAUAUAUACAUAAUGUAUUCUGUGCACCAGAAUAGAUAUAAAUAUUAAGUGCAGUAUUUCUGUAAGGCAUUCUGUCCUGAACUGUCAAUACAUAAUCUCUAAAUUUAUGUUUAAAUUGCUUAUGAUAAUGUGGUCUAUCUUCUACUCAUGCCUAAUGAGGUAAAUAGGUAGCUGAGCCAAUCAUUUCGAUGGUGCUGACAUCUCAGUAUUCAGUUGUUGCUCGGCUUCCGAAGCAGCUACCCUUCUCCGAGUACUUACACAAAAAAAACACAUAAGCAGUGAUGCUGCUCUGCAGUUAACAGGCUGCUCAGAAACUUGGCUUAAAUACCAGGCCACAAAGGAAGCUUUUCAAACUAGGUGUUUGUUUUAAAAGUCUUGCCCAGUCCCUAAGGUGUACUUUGAUCACACCUAAG